UGCCCUACGGGGGGCAGCAGUGGGGAAUAUUGCACAAUGGGGGGAACCCUGAUGCAGCAAUGCCGCGUGGGUGAAGAAGCACUCCGGUGCGUAAAGCCCUGUCAGCAUGGAAGAAAAUGACAGUACCUGACCAAGAAGCCCCGGCUAACUACGUGCCAGCAGCCGCGGUAAUACGUAGGGGGCAAGCGUUAUCCGGAUUUACUGGGUGUAAAGGGAGCGUAGACGGCAUGGCAAGUCUGAUGUGAAAACCCGGGGCUCAACCCCGGGACUGCAUUGGAAACUGUCAGGCUAGAGUGUCGGAGAGG
rnacentral:rRNA from 1 species